rnacentral:lncRNA from 1 species
CAAAAUAAAAAUCCGUUGGUCUAAAAAAAAAAAUUCCAAACUUUUUCCCUUGAAUAAUAACAAGGAUAAGCCUUUUGUUAGCAUUUUAAAUAUAAUUUAUAUUUUUGUUAACUAGGUAAGACUUCUUAAUCCAAAAGAUAAAUUGAAAAAAUAAAAUAACUUACUUUUUAAUCGCUAUCCAAACGACGUUUAAACUUUGUAAGUAUAAAGAGUAAAAUGUAAAGUAAAUAAAGAGGGUUGAUAACUGCUCUUUCUUUUUUAGCAGCUUGUAAUCAAAUAUAUAUAUAUAUAUAAGUGAACUAUCUUUAAAAUUAUUGUUACAAUUUAUUGACUCGAUGUGCAAAGAGAUAAGAUUUUGAAUUUUCAUUUACACUUGGUAAUUUGCCAAAGAACUGACUAAAGGUAAAUAAGAAAAAAUAUAACUGACUACUAUGCUUUGUUAUGACUCAAUAUCGGUAAAUAGUGAUCGACUAUUAUUUUUUAAGCUAACUUAGUGUCAGUAAUAAAAUGAAAAAAUAAAAAAAAAUGUCUUCAUAAUUUUUCCUUUAUCGAGUAAUGACUGAAGGAAGGACAUCCAUAGAAACACGACAUUGAUAAAGACUAAUUAUUUGACUUCCUGACUACUGCUAGUUGGCUAAUCGUCCACGUCUUUUUCUAUGAUGUUUGGUUCUUCACUUCCCAAAUCAUCCCCCACCGUUCAGCUUCACAUUUCGUCAAAUUCUUAUUCGUGCUUUCUGAGCUCUUACAAACGUGCAAGCAUUAAUAGCCAGAUGCGACAUACACACAAAGUGUUCUUCAGUAAAUGAGCCGGUUGGCUGUUUUAUAUGCUUGAAUUAUAUAUAUUCUCAUAUUUGAUCAAUUAAUUUACUAAAUUAAACUUUCAUAUACGUAUAUAACUGUCAAAUCAUCAAUGUCAAAAUAUCAUAUAUCUUCAGCUUUUAUUGUAAUUUAUUUGAUUAAUGCUUUUGAAUUUGGUUCAGUGCUCCUCAGUUGUGGCGUUUUAGUCUCCAUUCAUUUUUUGUUGGAUACGGCUUUUACAUAUUUCAUAAACAAGAUAUACAAUCUCUUAGUUUAUAUCAAGUAUAUGUUUGAUAAUGAAUAAAAUUAAUUAAGAAAAAAAGGAACGAGUGUUAAU